rnacentral:rRNA from 1 species
AGAGUUUGAUCCUGGCUCAGGAUGAACGCUGGCGGUAUGCCUAACACAUGCAAGUCGUACGAGAGUUUUUAACUCUAGUGGCGGACGGGUGAGUAACACGUGAGAAUUUACCUUUAGGAGGGGGAUAACAAUUGGAAACGAAUGCUAAUACCCCAUAUGCUUUUGAGUGAAAUGGAUUUAUAAUUAUCUGCCUAAAGAAAAGCUCGCGGCUGAUUAGCUUGUUGGUAAGGUAAGAGCUUACCAAGGCGACGAUCAGUAUCUGGUUUGAGAGGACGAUCAGACACACUGGAACUGAGACACGGUCCAGACUCCUACGGGAGGCAGCAGUGGGGAAUUUUCCGCAAUGGGCGAAAGCCUGACGGAGCAAUACCGCGUGAGGGAAGACUGCCUAUGGGUUGUAAACCUCUUUUUUCAGGGAGGAAUAAAAUGACGUGUACCUGAAGAAUAAGCAUCGGCUAACUCCGUGCCAGCAGCCGCGGUAAG